UACGUAGGGCGCAAGCGUUGUCCGGAAUUAUUGGGCGUAAAGAGCUCGUAGGCGGCCAGUUGCGUCCGCUGUGAAAUCCCGGGGCUUAACCCCGGGCGUGCAGUGGAUACGGGCUGGCUGGAGGCAGGCAGGGGAGAACGGAAUUCCUGGUGUAGCGGUGAAAUGCGCAGAUAUCAGGAGGAACACCGGUGGCGAAGGCGGUUCUCUGGGCCUGUACUGACGCUGAGGAGCGAAAGCGUGGGGAGCGAACAGG
rnacentral:rRNA from 1 species